rnacentral:lncRNA from 1 species
AGCUACAUCCGUCACCUGACACGGCCCUACCAGGAACAGCCGCGCUCCCGCGGAUUCUGGUGCUGCUCGCGUCCCCGCUCCCCUAUUCCCCUUAUUUUAUUCCUGGCUCCCCUCGUCGAAAGUCUUCCAUUCUUCAAACUAGAUUAUUUAAAAAUGAAAAAGGAAGAAAGGAAAGCGAGGUCAUCUCAUUGCUCUAUCCGCCAAUCAGGAGGCUGAAUGUCAGUUUUGAACUAAAAGCCGCUCCGCUCCUCUUCUAGAUUUGGAAAACAAGCGAAAUUAAACUAAACCGCUGCACGCCUCUGACGCGACAUCUGGACACGGCGCGGCGCUGGCGCUGCCGGAGCUGUCGACCCGGCCUGGCGCCGGACUAGUGUCCCUUUUGAUGAGAAGAAUAAGCCUCAUUCUGAUUCAACAGCAGAGAUCAAAGAAAAGACUUCUGUUUUCUGGCCACCAGAUAUAUGUUAUCUGUGCUUAAAGAAUUGAAAAACACACAUCAAAGGAGAAUUUUCUUGGAAAGAGAGGGUUCAAGCAUCACUGUUAGGUGUGCUGGAAUCCUUUCCCGAGUCAGUACUGCUUUCUAGAAGAAAACCGGGGAGAUCUAUUUGGAAUGUAUCUAACUCCAAAGAAACCAUCAGAGGUAACAGUAGAGACGGGGUUUCACCAUGUUGGCCAGACUGGUCUUGAACUCUCGACCUCGUGAUUCGCCCGCCUCGGCCUCCCAAAGUGCUGGGAUUACAGGUGUGAGACACCACACCCGGCGGAUAGAGAGAAUUUUGACAGAUGUAGUGUCACUCUGUCGCCCAGGCUGGAGUGCAGUGGCGUGAUCUCGGCUCACUGCAACCUCUGCUACCCAGGUUCAAGCGAUUCUCCUGCCUCAGCCUCCCAAGGAGCUGGGAUUGCAGGCACCUGCCACCACGCCCAGCUAAUUUUUGUAGUUUUGGUAGAGAUGGUGUUUCACCAUUUUGGCCAGGCUGGUCUUAAACUCCUGACCUUGUGAUCCACCUGCCUUCGCCUCCCAAAGUGCUGGUAUUACAGGCAUGAGCCACUGUGCCCAGCCUAAAUGUUUUCUUUAAAAGCAAGGUAAGUAUGCCUAGAUGCACUGCCUCUUAGUAAUUUUUGAGGAUGGAUUAUUCAUUAAAUUGCUUCCCUUUCUCACAGCUGGUGAAUUAGAACGAUAGUGAGCUUACAAGAGCUUUAACGAGGAAAAGAUGGUCAUUGUUUAACAGAGAAGGAUGGUUUGGGUGAGCAUUUUUGUGUUUUUGGAGGGGAACUUUGAGGGCAAUGAGUGUUGCACCUGUGUCCACUGAGGAUCUCUGGGCGGGGUAAAAGGAAGGCAGGGAUGAGAGUGAGGAAGGGAGACAGGAGGGUCCCAAAUACGAACUUUGACUUAACGAGGAUGAUUACUAGAAGGGAAAGAUUGUGGAUUCAUUGAUGAGAUGUUGAACCAUGAAAACUCUAAUUGUAGAACUCACUUCAGACUGAAUUGACUUGGCUUUCAGUAGCAGAAGCCCUUUGUCUACUUCUCUAGUAUUGAAGUGAAUGCAAAUUUCUCAAUGUAAGAAAAGUAGAGUGGUGAAAUAAGAGUGUGGGUUCCAGGGUCAGACAACUGGGUGCAUAAAAAGGGUAAGGAUGCUACAACUGGUAAGCCCUGUGAGAAUUAUUUAAUCCUUCCAUGUCUCAUUCCGCUCAUCUGGAAAAUGAUGAUCAUACUAACUUAUGAGAUGUGUGUACAGACUAGAUAUAAUAUUAAAACAUUUCUGAUACCUAUGCAUUAUAUUGGAUCAAUAUAUAUUUGCAAUAAAUGAUCAACUUUUUAUUAA